rnacentral:lncRNA from 1 species
AGCCAUCGUCGUACAGCUCGUUUUCUUUUCUUCCAGCACGAUAGUACAUCGACCUCAGCAGCGGCAGGCACAAAUAAUCGGGCGUAUCUUGGCGCAUACAUCACCGAUAUCUUCCCCCCACGCGACCUGUACCGCCACCUACCUCGCUUUCCUCCUCCGGCCUCUCCUCGCUAGUGCCUACAGCAGUACUACUAGUGCUCAUUUCCCGUCUCUAUUCGAUCUCCACGUUCAAUCAUUUCACGCUCUUCCUCUCGUCCUUGGCCUAGCCAAAAAGCUGCAGGCAUCCCGGGGCUUCCUUUCUUCCUCGGACGCGCGCAUGAACGGUUGGCUCUCGUGAUCUCGACAUGGCCGCCUCGN